rnacentral:tRNA from 1 species
UAGGUUGUAGUUUAAUGAGAAUUGGAGCUUUGGGAGUUCCGGGUGCCUUCUUGGUCAGCCUAA